CCUAUGUCACAUGAGAAAAGGAUCCUUUUUCCUCCAGCUUGAAUUCCUCUUCCGGAAGAGGAGAAAAAAAGACUGCACCGUGAUGUCGUAUUCUUUGACCAGUUCAUCGAUUCACCGACGGCACCCGCUGUCCUCUCGCUGGUUUGAUCCGUGCUGGACGCCCAAUCGCACCUCGGUGCGCCUGCCCCGUCGUCCACAAGAGGUCAGACACGAACAGCACAAGUCGUCCAUUCACGAGGGGCGCUGAAUGCAUGAGCUCGAGCCAAAACGCUCACGAAUGAAUAAAAACGAUGUGCAUAGAUGGCGGAAGUGGAUAGCUCUGCGUGUUGGGCUUGAGUAUGUAGCUUGGGCUCGGGAAUGGGACGGGAGGCGUGACGUAGGUGGGCCUGGGUGAGCGCCACGCCCUCCCUGUUACGGCGGCCAAGUUGACGCGGUCACUCAAGUCCCGUGCCUCGGAUCCGAGCACGGAAAGCCGCAUCGUGGAAGCAACGUGGCUACCACUCGCCUUUGAUACGUACCCUCCUACUCGUGGAAUCCCGCAACUUUGGCUCUUGCCCCCGCCCUCAGCCGUGGAUCGUCGUCGGGGCUUGGCUGUGCACCUUCGCCUGCCGCCGCCGCAGGGAUGGCCACCGCCAGUCUCAACUAUGUGGCUCCAUGGUGGAUCUACUGGCUGCACAAUUUGCCUCACUUUGACUUGUCGCUCAAGCCUGUGGACAGCACCUUUAGACCCGAGCAGGAGGACUACCAGCAGUCUGUGGCGGUCCUGGCCUGUGUGGGAGCGGUGGGCCUCAGUCUGAGCCUGGUGCUUUUGGUUCUCUUCUUGGUCUGCUCGCGUAUCUGCCGCAGGGACGCGCACGAAGACGUCAAAAGGCCCGAGAGGACCCGCUGCGCGACGUGGUCGGCCGUCGUCACCGCUCUCAUCGUAUGUUGUGCUGUGGCAGUGGGUUUCUAUGGAAACAGCGAGACCAACGAUGGCGUGCACCGGUUCACCUAUUCCAUCUCCAACGCCAAUCGGACUUUGGGCGCCAUCGACAGCCUGCCGGCGGGCUCUCUAGGAAGUGCGCAAACGGGCGUCCAGCGGCACCUGGAGCGUCUGGAUGAGAUCUUGGCCGCACGGGCCGAUUACCUUCAGGCUCUACGCUUCGUGCGGCUGAUGGUGAACAACGUCAUCCGGGAGCUGAAUGCCCUGCCCAACCUCGACAAAGCCAACGUGGGGCUGACGGCCGCCGCGGCCCACGCCGCCUUCGUUGAGUAUUACAGAUGGCUGACCUACCUUCUCCUGCUGAUCUUUGAUCUGCUCAUCUGUCUGGCCAUCUGCUUGGGGAUGACCAAGCAGUCUCGGUGGCUGCUCGUCAUGAUGAUGGCCUUGGUCGUGCUGUCUGUGAUCCUGAGCUGGGCCUCACUGGGAGCCAGCUGGGCUACAGCUGUGGGCACCGCCGACUUCUGCGUGUCUCCCGACAAGUUUAUCGUCAACCGAAGCAAAGAAUUCCUCAGUGCGGAUAUUGCUCACUAUUAUUUGUUCUGCAGUCCGAAUCUACCCAACCCCUUCCAACAGUCGCUGACGGUCUGCCAGCGCUCGCUGACCACCAUGCAGAUCCAGAUCCAGGGUUUGCUGCAGUUCUCCAUGCCCGCCUUCCCCACCGCCGAGAGAGACCUGUUAGGCAUCCAGGGCCUGUUGAAUGCCAGCGAAUUCAAUCUGCACCAGCUGACAGCCUUGCUUGAUUGUCGCGGACUGCACAAGGACUACCUGGACGGCCUAAUGGGCGUAUGCUACGAUGGCGUGGAAGGCCUCCUCUACCUGGCUUUGUUCUCCCUGCUGGCGGCGUGCGCGCUCUCUGCCAUGCUGUGUGCCAUUUGGCGAGUGUGGACGCUAAUCGGCAGCAGAGACAAAGAAUAUGACGACAUAGACGAGGAGGACCCGUUCAACCCUCAAGCGCGCCGCAUGUCCUAUAACGCCAGGAGGUCCAACAUCCACAGCUUCUGCAGCUACACCAGCAGUGCUGGCAGCCAGGCCAGCAUCCAUCCUCCGCCUCAGGCGGCCGCCGCUGUACCGCCCGCCCCAGAAUACAUGAAUCAGUCCAUGCUGUUUGGCGGGAGCCCUCGGUACGAGAACGUCCCGUUGAUAUGCAGAGGAUCCCCGCCACCGUCGGUGCGUUGGCCCUACGCCGCCCUGAUGUCCCAAGUGUGACCACGACCCCCCCCCCCCCCCCUGCAUGUUCACAACAUGAAACGAGGAUGAAGUGGUGGUGUAAGACUGCCCUCUGUACUCACCCGGUACGAGGACAACUUACCUGUCCACAACCGAAGUCCAGAUCCGAUGACACUUUGGCCCGGACUUCCAGGUGUAGAGGAAUCGCCACGACAAUUAAGCAGAAAUUGUUGCUUUUAUCUAGAGAAUGUAUCCAAACUGUUUGAUGCCUUUUUAUUGUAUGCAAGUAAACUCAUGUUUGCCAA